AUUGAACGCUGGCGGCAUGCUUUACACAUGCAAGUCGAGCGGUAACGGGCCUUCGGGUGCUGACGAGUGGCGAACGGGUGAGUAAUGCAUCGGAACGUACCCAGAGGUGGGGGAUAACGCAGCGAAAGCUGUGCUAAUACCGCAUGUGAUCUGAGGAUGAAAGCGGGGGACCGCGCAGCAAUGUUUGGCCUCGCGCCUUUGGAGCGGCCGAUGUCGGAUUAGCUAGUUGGUGGGGUAAAGGCCUACCAAGGCGACGAUCCGUAGCUGGUCUGAGAGGACGACCAGCCACACUGGGACUGAGACACGGCCCAGACUCCUACGGGAGGCAGCAGUGGGGAAUUUUGGACAAUGGGCGCAAGCCUGAUCCAGCAAUGCCGCGUGCGGGAAGAAGGCCUUCGGGUUGUAAACCGCUUUUGGCAGGAACGAAACGGUGUCCGCUAAUACCGGGCGCUAAUGACGGUACCUGCAGAAUAAGCACCGGCUAACUACGUG
rnacentral:rRNA from 1 species